UUAUGCCGGCCUUUACUACCCGCAUCCCUCAUUUCGCUCAAUUCCCCAAACAUUAACCCUAAACCUUCAGAGAAUCAGAGUUCAGAGUGAGGCUUCUUCUUCUUCUUCUCCAACACCUGAGAGUAGAGACCAGAGACAGAGUCACCGUAAAGGAGAGACAGAAAGCAGAUCAGCAAAAUUUCGUCUUCUCCGAUGUUUGAGAAAACCCGCCGUCUUCUGCCGGAGAGUAGAACUUCUUCUUCUUUGCCGAGCCCGCUGCUGCGGCAUCCUCUUCAUGUCUUCAAUUCAGAGAAUGAUGAAGGAAGAAAGGCAUUGCGGAUGUUAUCACUACUUUUGUUCAUUUUUCUGUGUUAUCCUACAAUUUUGUAUUCGCUUUUCAUGACUGACAUGGAUUUGUAGGGUUCUUCUCUAUUUCUUGUGCUAGUUCUCUAAUUGUUUAUUAAGUUGGAUUCAAUGUACAUAUCAACUAUAUGUAACCUCGUUUUAUGCUGAGGAAAUCUGUAAAGAACUUCAGUGUCUUGCAACGCUUUUUACUAAGGACAUAUUAGAGACACUUUAAGCUUUUGCAUAAAGGACAUGUGAGUUAUAUACAAAGUUUACUGAUCAUUUUUUUCUAUUAGUCUCUUGCAAAGUUUGCUGAUCAUUUCUUGCACAACUCAAGUGACUGGAUAUACGGAAGCAGUGUUAACAAGGCACCUUCAAUAAGCUGUUUUGAUUAAGAGUCUGUAUCUUCUUUGAAAGCUACUGUGAGGAACCGAAUUUUGAAGGGUUAGUGUUACUCUGACUUGUAAGAGGUAGAGUGAAAUGGAGUAGUAUAAAAUUCUAGAGUAGAUUGGCAAAGGUACCUUUGAUUCUGCUCUUCUUGUCGAGCACAAGCAUGAAAAGAAAAAGGUUGAAGCUAUAAAAAAGGCAAAUGGUGUUCAUUUUCCUGAAGAGAGGCAAGAGUGGCAUUCAGUUCCAUAGUAGGUGGAGAGUUAGCUGAGGAAGCCAAGUCCAUCAAUGCCGGUUUUCUUCUUCUACGUAACUCAAGAAAUCCAAAAAACAAGAAUGGAAUUUCCAAGGGAAUUAGCAAGUAUUGCUUUGAUCAUGCACAUGAAGGCUGCACUGUAGUCUCGGUUGGGAAAUUCGCCAAAGCAGAGCAAGGUUCUAGUUCAAAUUCAAAGCAUACUCAAGGUAGUUUAGUUCUCUUGAAUGAAAAAAUGAAAAUUGAAACUGAAUGACAAAUUCCUUAUACAUUAUAUUAUCAC